AUUGAACGCUGGCGGCAGGCCUAACACAUGCAAGUCGAGCGGUUGAAGGUAGCUUUCUCCUGGAUUCAGCGGCGGACGGGUGAGUAAUUCCUAGGAAUCUGUCUGGUAGUGGGGGAUAACGUCCGGAAACGGGCGCUAAUACCGCAUACGUUCUGAGGGAUAAAGUGGGGGAUCUUCGUACCUCACUCUAUCAGCUGAGCCUAGGUCUGAUUAGCUAGUUGGUUGGGUAAAGGCCUACCAAGGCGCCGAUCCGUAACUGGUCUGAUAGGCUGAUCAGUCACACUGGAACUGAGAAACGGUCCAAACUCCUACGGGAGGAAGAAGUGGGGAAUAUUGGACAAUGGGCGAAGGCCUGAUCCAGAAAUGCCGCGUGUGUGAAGAAGGUCUUCGGAUUGAAAAGCACUUUAAGUUGGGAGGAAGGGCAGUAAGUUAAUAACUUGAUGUUUUGACGUUACCAACAGAAUAAGCACCGGCUAACUUCGUG
rnacentral:rRNA from 1 species